rnacentral:rRNA from 1 species
GCUGAAACUCGCCUACAUGAAGCUGGAGUUACUAGUAAUCGCAGAUCAGAAUGCUGCGGUGAAUGCGUUCCCGGGUCUUGUACACACCGCCCGUCACACCACGGGAGUUGGAGACGCCCGAAGCCGAUUAUCUAACCUUUUGGAAGAAGUCGUCGAAGGGGGAAUCAAUAACUGGGGUGAAGUCGUAACAAGGUAGCCGUAUCGGAAGGUGCGGCUGGAUCACCUCCUUUCUAAGGA